AAUAAAUGUAGUUUUGCACUAUUCAUGUUUACAUUUGACCGUUCGUCUUAUUUAAAAUUUUUUUUAUGAUUAGUAUUUUUAUUACUAUUGGAUGAUAAAAUAUAAAUAGUACUUUAUGUGUGACUAAAUAUUUUUUAAUUUUUCAUAAAUUUUUUAAAUAAGACGAAUGGUCAAAUGUUAGGCACGGAUAUUUACA
rfam:Oryza rufipogon genomic scaffold, chr03